CUCUCACAGUGUGCUCUGUCAUCACAUGCCUAAAGCAGUGAGGCCCACUGACCAUGAACUGGAACUUCCAAAACUGAGUGUUUCCUCAAAGACUGGGACAUCAACUCUAACAUGUCACCAUGAGAAAAGAGAGCUCCUGUCUCUCCCAGAGUGUGGGAGGGUAGGAGCCCAACCUCAACUAGAGCUUGUUUCCAAGUUGCAACCCUAUCUCCCAUCAUGAAGACAUGAGAAAUUUGCUUUUCCUUUGACUACAGUUAAUGAGAAAACAUUGAUGUCUACCCCAGCAUCCAUCUGACUAUGGACUGAAACUUCUACAAACU